rnacentral:misc_RNA from 1 species
GAACAUGAUGCGGAGAGGGACUCAUGCAGCUAACCCCAAAUAGUUUUAGGGUAAUGCUUAGUUGAACUGAGUUAAGUUUACACUUCAAUGUUAGAUACAUGAUAUAUGCAACUUGAAACGGGAGAUAAAUUCUUAAUCUUUCUGUAGUUGAUGGUGAGUUGUUAUGUGCAAAAUAUCUAAUUGAUUUUCAAUGACAAUUGUUAGGCAAUCUGGUGAUAAUUGUUAGUGGAAGAUACUGUCCCAAAAGUUCUAAGACAAUGGUAGUGAUGCAUUUCAUGUGACAGAUUUAUAGAUUAUAUGAAGAAGCAUUAAUAUACAAACAUAAAACAUGCAUGAAUUGUACUGUCUAAUUGCAGUUGAUAACUUGUGAAUCUCCUGUGUGCGAGUUAACUAGGUUUUAUGUCAUCAAAUGAACUUCCUGUAUUGAUGAAUAUAGCUUGUGUAUAUGGAGACAUUGGAAUGGAAUAUGAUUACUACUUCAAGACUCAAGUGGUCACAAAGUCAACAAUUAGUACAUGGUUUCUCAGGACGAUGAAAACUAACUUUAUGGUAUCUUAUGGUGAAACUACUCUUUGCAGGAAUGGUACAGUGGUAAGCUGA